rnacentral:tRNA from 1 species
GUCUAAGUAGCUCAGUGGUUAGAGUAAAAGACUGAAAAUCUUUUGGUCAAUGGUUCAAAUCCAUUCUUAGACA